rnacentral:rRNA from 1 species
AACGAACGCUGGCGGCAGGCCUCAAACAUGCAAGUCUAGGGGGUGUAGCAAUACAUCACCGGCGGACGGGUGCGUAACACGUGGGAAUGUACCUAUUGGUUCGGAACAACGCAGGGAAACUUGCGCUAAUACCGAAUGUGCCCUUCGGGGGAAAGAUUUAUCGCCAAUGGAUCAGCCCGCGUUCGAUUAGCUAGUUGGUGAGGUAAUGGCUCACCAAGGCGACGAUCGAAGCUGUUCUGAGAGGAAGAUCAGCCACACUGGGACUGAGACACGGCCCAGACUCCUACGGGAGGCAGCAGUUGGGAAUCUUGGACAAUGGGGGAAACCCUGAUCCAGCCAUGCCGCGUG